rnacentral:rRNA from 1 species
GACGAAUGCUGGCUGCGUGCUUAACACAUGCAAGUCGAACGGUGAAAGGGAGCUUGCUCCCUGGAUCAGUGGCGAACGGGUGAGUAACACGUGGGCAACCUGCCCCUCACUCUGGGAUAACUCCGGGAAACCGGGGCUAAUACCGGAUACGACCUGGUGCGACAUCGCACCGGGUGGAAAGAACUUCGGUGAGGGAUGGGCCCGCGGCCUAUCAGCUUGGUGGUGGGGUAACGGCCCACCAAGGCGACGACGGGUAGCCGGCCUGAGAGGGCGACCGGCCACACUGGGACUGAGACACGGCCCAGACUCCUACGGGAGGCAGCAGUGGGGAAUAUUGCGCAAUGGGCGAAAGCCUGACGCAGCGACGCAGCGUGAGGGACGAAGGCCUUCGGGUCGUAAACCUCUUUCAGCGGGGACGAAGCGAAAGUGACGGUACCCGCAGAAGAAGCACCGGCUAACUACGUGCCAGCAGCCGCCGUAACAC